rnacentral:rRNA from 1 species
AUUGAACGCUGGCGGCAGGCCUAACACAUGCAAGUCGAGCGAGCGGCGGACGGGUGAGUAAUGUAUGGGGACUGCCCGAUAGAGGGGGAUAACUACUGGAAACGGUAGCUAAUACCGCAUACUAUCGGAUAACCCAUAUGGGAUGAGCUAGUAGGUGAGGUAAUGGCUCACCUAGGCGACGAUCCCUAGCUGGUCUGAGAGGAUGAUCCGCCACACUGGGACGGGGACACGGCCCAGACGACUACGGACGCAGCAGUGGGGAAUAUGGCACAAUGGGCGCGAGCCUUAUGCAGCCAUGCCGCGUGUGUGAAGAAGGCCCUAGGGUUGUAAAGUACGUUCAGUCGGGAGGCGUUACCGACAGAAGAAGCACCGGCUAACUCCGUGCCAGCAGCCGCGGUAAUAC